AAGAAAGCGUGCGGUCUGCGGAAUACCGGAUCUAGCAAUGUCUGAACUGAAAGUGCUUCCACAGACCGUGUACUCCAAUCCCGAUCCCAUUUUACAGAUGAGGAAAGAAAGUCCCAAAGAAGGAAGCUGAAUGGAUGUGGAGGGGCAAUUCCAGAUGUGCCGCUGCCUGUUCGUUUCCCACUCGUGUCCUCCCACCUCUCCAUCUUUGGGCAGUGGUGAGCCAUUGAAGGUUUCUGAACAGAGAAACACUUAUUGGGAACUGUCGGAGCUGUGCUUUCAGAAAAUGAAUCUGUCAAUAAUGUAG